UAGGGAAUUGUUCGCAAUGGGCGCAAGCCUGACGACGCAACGCCGCGUGGAGGAUGAAGGUCUUCGGAUUGUAAACUCCUGUCGUGUGGGACGAACACUCACCGGGCUAAUCACCGGAGGGCUGACGGUACCACGAAAGGAAGCCCCGGCUAACUCUGUGCCAGCAGCCGCGGUAAGACAGAGGGUGCAAACGUUGUUCGGAUUUACUGGGCGUAAAGCGUGUGUAGGCGGCUUCGUAAGUUGGAUGUGAAAUCCCACGGCUCAACCGUGGACGUGCAUCCAAAACUACGUCGCUGGAGUCUCGGAGAGGAAGGUGGAAUGCUUGGUGUAGAGGUGAAAUUCGUAGAUAUCAAGCAGAACACCUGCGGCGAAGGCGGCCUUCUGGACGAUGACUGACGCUGAGACACGAAAGCGUGGGGAGCAAA
rnacentral:rRNA from 1 species